UUCAUGGACGAAGCCACGAGUGUGGCCAA
rnacentral:sRNA from 1 species